AUUGAAGUAGAAUUAGAAAUGUGAGGCCUUUAGGGAUAGUAAAAUUGACUACUUCUAGAGUCAAUGAUAGAAGUCGACUUACAAAAGAUGUUGAGCAACAAAACCCCUUAAGAAUUCUCAGUCAAACCUGGUGACUCCACAUAUAAAUCCUCAGGUGAUACUGCUAUUUUUAAACAAAGCUUAUUGUUUCAUAUGAUUUCAUUGUGGCCACCACAAAACAGAAGCAAAAUGCACACACAUUUUGCAUAACACCCCUAAGAAGGCACCCUGCCAAUGCCUACACACUUGAAAUCAUAAAGGAUCAUGGACAAGAAAGAACCUCCAGAAGCCUUGCCAUUGCCAGGACCUUCCUCUUCUGCCAGGACAGAAAUGCUGCUCAAAAUCUGCCCCAUGGAACUUCAUAAGAAAAGAGUCUUCAGAUCAUGAGGCUUACAAAGAGAGUAUCCAGUCUUUCCAGACCCAGAGAGGAAAGGAAUGUGGUCAAACAGAAGUAGCUCUGCAGUCAUAUGCUGAAAAUGACAAGGAGAAUGCAUUACCAGCCUGCUUCCUGGAAUACUGGAGGAGUCAGAGAAGCCUACCAGCCUGAAAUGUUCACCUCCACAUUCCUACAUGAGACAUUCCUAUUCUCUUCA